CAUUUCUACAAGAUAAAAACUACAAUACAUGAAGUCUACCUUAAAUAUAAACAUAAUUCUAACAAACAAAUAUCUUAUAAAACUGUCAACUUUUAUUACAAAUAAAAGUAAUAAAACAUGUAAAAAUGGUGGUAAUAAAAAAGCUGUGUAAAAACAAUUUAAACAAGAAGUUGCAUGUGAUAAACACAGCCAUUUUCAUAAUUCAAAUAAAAUUGAGAAAAGAAAUGGGGAAUGUGUUAAAAGACCAAAGAGCGAAAAAAAGCCUUAGGAUCUUCAAUGCAGCAAGAAAACCCGAUGGUACCCAGAGGUGGGCUCCAGAAUGGGAAAUGAACGUAAUGGAAUGACAGAUCACAACAGUGAACAUAGAUUCCAUCUCGUCAUUGUCAGGUUGCUGAUCAAAUCGGGAGUCAUUCUGUUCUUUACUACUGGAGAAAAGUGUGACAAAACAUUUAUUUAAGUAACUGAAGGCCAGUAUGAAUGCAAUAUAGCCUCUAGAAGGGGUAUGAUAUAAAAUCUGAUGGAAAUAUAUAUAUAUUACAGAAAUAUGCCAAGUUAAUACUGAACAACAUAAUUUUUCUCUAUCAAUAUGUACCUAAGUCUGGCAUUCUCUAACAUUAAUUGUUUCGGUAAUUAGGUUUCACCAAUAUUUGAUGACAUAGCUUACAUUUUUUGUAAUAUGUUUACCUACAUUCAUUUGUGAAAAUCUCUUUUCUAUUAGACCAAUUAAUAGGAACAUAACACUUUCAAUUUGUUAUUCAUAUUUAUUUUAAGAUAAAAAUGGUUGCGAGUGGGUGGAAUUCCAACUUUCCGUAUUCUUUUUGUGAUUAUUUCUUUUAUAGUUGAAGAAAAUAAGGUCUAGAUAACUAUAUUUUGUCUUACAUUUUGCUUAAUGAUUUCACAUUUCAUAAGUACCUUGUAAAAUAUUACCAAUAGAAAUCAACAUAAAAUAGAUCAAAAACUUAAAUAGCCUAGUUAUAAAGCUGAAUGUUUCUUAAAAAAUGAAGAAUUCUAUUUACUGAACAUUUCGAUCUUUGAAAAAUAAAUGUAAGAGUUCCCAGAAAUGUGCAAUUAUUAGGGAUCUGGGUUGAAAACUGUAGGAAGAGUUGAUUACACCAACCUUAAGAAAUUUUUAGGAAAGUGUAUACUCAUUGACAGAAAGCACUACAUGAAAAUGGACACUUUACAAUCAGAAUUUAUCAACUCUCAUCGUCUAUCCCUCAUGAACCAUAAUUUCUGAAUAUAAGCUGAAUGAGGCUGAAAUUUUCAGAAUUUUGGCUGAAAUGUGUCUUAGAACAAAUCAGGUGUCUGAAUCCUGUCUGACCUGUUUAUUGAUGGUGUCUGAAUAUUGUCUUAUAGUUUAAAUUUUGUCUUAAUACUUCUUAUUUAGUCAGAAAUAGUUUCAGACAUAUUCAGAACUUCUGAAUACUGUCUUGUUUGAAUUAUUAAGAAAAAAAGUAAGAUGAAUUCAGAAACCAACAAUUAAAUAAAAUACACCCCUAAAUAUCUGAAUAUUGUCUGAAUUAUUCUUAAUCAUUCAGAAGUUAUGUCAGACAAAAUUCAGAAAACUGGAAAUAAGUAAAUUAUAAUCUUAUAAAUCUGAAUAUUGUCUGACACAAAUACAACAUUCAGACAUAUUCAGAUGACUAUUCAGAUAUAAUUCAGAAAUAAUUAAGACAAUAUUCAGCCACCAAUUUUCCAUGAGGGAUUGCUGUUAAUAAAGGAAAACUUUCAAGAGAAAGGAAAGAAGAGAAUAAUUCAGUGUUUAUUGUGAUGAUUUUUAUAGUUUUCGCAUAUAGCAGGGAUUACUUAUACAUUGGAGUAAUAAUGGUUUACUUUUAUAAAUUGUUAUUUGGAUAGAGAGUUGUUUCAUUGGCACUCAUACCACAUCUUCCUAUAUCUAAUAAGACUUACUAUAUAAUUCCUUAUUUACAGCUAUUUCUGCUGGUGAUAAGGUCAUCAAACAUAAUUCUUAUAGCGGAUCAAAAAUGUAUAAUGAAAGUGAUUUACUGGAAUAUUAUUAACAUAUCUCAUUAUUUAAGGAAUAAACCAGAAAAUUAUCCAUUUGUAGUUCUUAUAAAAAAUAAAUGAACUCUUAAACAUACAAUUUAUGAGGGAGAUGUAUUUUUUUACAAAAUAAUCAUGGAGAAAAAAUACUCCUUUGAGCUCUUAUGAUAUCAUGAUCAGUUACAAGGCAGUAUGAUAAUAGCAUGUUAUAUUUGUUAUUGACAAGUAUGUGGUAUUCUAGCAAAUUUACAGUUAGAUUUAUUGAUGUCAAUAAACACAUUUUGUAUCAUGUUAUAAUAAAAUAAAUGUUUCAAGUGGUUGUAAGAAUAAAGAAAAAAAAACCCAAAAAAAUAGUUACAAUGACAUACUUUUAAAGAAGAAACACGAAAAACUUAAAAAAAUAAAUAAAUAUAUAUUAAAUAUUAGUCCUAAAAGGUAGACCAAUUAAUUUAUAAUAUAUUGAACUAGAGAAUAAACAAGAAUGUGUCUUAAGGACAUGUAUGUCCCCACUGAAGCUUUACAAAUUUCCAAGUUAUAAAGGGGCAUAACUCUAGAAUGGUAAGUGACUCACCGUCCAAAUUCAAACUCUGUCUGCAAGCCUUAUUAGUGAUCUUGUUGUAAUCUAAAUUAUUUACCAGAUUUUCAAAUUCGAUUAUAUCAAUUUUUUGUAUAAUAUUAUAAAUCAAUUUCCAAAAUUUUAUAUAAAUCAAGAUACUGUGAUAUCUGGAGUAUAAAUAAUUGACCAACAUUAUAAAUUAUUGCACAGUCUAAACAUACAUAUAAUACUUUGUUACUAUUCUGAUGAGGAUAAAAUCUUAUUUGCCAAUAACUAGAAAAUUUAUUAGAAAUUUACAGCAGAAGAAUUAAUAUAAAAAUCUAUAAAUCUUCGUUUUACUGCAAAAAGACACUCUCAAAGAAUAGCAGGCAAAAUGCCAGCAAUGUUAUUAAUUUUAUUAAACAUGAAAACUAAACA
rnacentral:lncRNA from 1 species